CAUAUCAAUAAGCGGAGGAA
rnacentral:snRNA from 1 species